UAUAUAUAUAUAUCAAUCAUUUGCCUGUACCAAAAUCUAUGAACAAAAUAUGUCAAAUUGGAUUAAUAAGCCCAAAAGAAAAUUAUUCUUUGGCUCUCCAGGAUUAAAAGAAGCUGAAAAUAAAAAUCACCCUUUCAGAGAGAUUGCACACUGUUUUUGUUGUGGUUGCUUUAAUGUGUCAUCAAAGAUUUCUCUGAACACUCUUGGGAAGUAGAGCAUUUAUUUCCAUCAGGUAGUUCGCUUUUUUCUUCUUCCUUUUUUUGAUUUCAUUUUAAGCAAAUAAUAUGUUUUAAAAUCCAACUGUUAACAAUUCCAUACUCAAAAAAUGCAUAAAAAGUCAUCUAAAUACCUCUAUAUCAUGUGUCUCUGAGCUUGUGGUGGAAGUGUUCUUACCCUCCAACAGAGUAAUCCACGCUGAACCAUCGCAGAGGUAAAGGGCUUUCUUUUCUUGACUGAACCACAGCUGACCUUGUUGCAGCUCCGUGCAGGUCCUCUCCAAACCCACUGAAACUCGCUUCUCAGCUGCCGACAGAUCAUAAAAACACGGGUCUAGGAGCAGCGGUGGCACAGACAGAGCAGCUAAUUUGGAGUCAGAAGAGGGGCAGAUCUGAUGAGUCGCAUCAGAACCUGGCACCAGAACCAGCUGUCGCAGCAAACCCUGAAGAUGGGACGAAAACAAGCCCUUCCAUCUUCCACGACUGCCAAUGUGGAAUCUGGAUCCCUGAAUGUUGAGGUCUGAGGAAAAGGGCCUGGAGGGAACGCUGAAACAGAAGAUCAUUAUUACAAAUAGCUGAGGUUCGCCGUGUUUCUUCUGUAAAUGAGCUGCCGCAAAACUCCCUGCAGUCAAAGCAUUUUAUGUGUUGUGUAAUUUUUAAUAAAGUGCUAGAAUAUGAGACUUCAAUUUCAUGUCUAUAAAUGCUAUGGAUGUUGCACCCUUCAGUGUUCCAGAGGGAGUUUCCACUCAAAACCGUUGAUCACUUACUGUCAGAUCACUAUCGUACAGCUCCAGGGAGAGAGCAGAUUGAGAGCAUUAUAUCACACUGAAGGAUCCAGUUGAGAAACAGGAAGAUAUUGUGGCUUCAGACAGAAAAA